rnacentral:rRNA from 1 species
GUCUACGGCCAUACCACCCUGAACGCGCCCGAUCUCGUCUGAUCUCGGAAGCUAAGCAGGGUCGGGCCUGGUUAGUACUUGGAUGGGAGANN